GGAAGUAAAAGUCGUAACAAGAUUUCCGUAGGUGAACCUGCGGAAGGAUCAUUACUGAGUGAGGGCCCCUCGGGGUCCAACCUCCCACCCGUGUUUAACGAACCUUGUUGCUUCGGCGGGCCCGCCUCACGGCCGCCGGGGGGCAUCUGCCCCCGGGCCCGCGCCCGCCGAAGCCACCUGUGAACGCUGUCUGAAGUAUGCAGUCUGAGACAAUUAUUAAAUUAAUUAAAACUUUCAACAACGGAUCUCUUGGUUCCG
rnacentral:misc_RNA from 1 species